UACGUUUUUCUCCCACAGCUGGUUAAUCAAAUAAGUUCAGCUGAAAAAAGCAUAAAAAAAGUUACAUUUUUAAAAUUUUAUUUGACUGGCUGUGUUUUGAAUGUCGAGGAGGCUCCAGUUCCAGUUCAUGCCAAGGAUGUUUGGUGGGGUUGAGGUCAGGGCUCUGUGUGGGACACUCCAGUUCUUCCACCUUCUUCCAACCUUAACACACCGUGUCUUCAUGGAGCUCGCUUUGUGCACAGGGGCAUUGUUGCAUUGUUAUGCAGCCAUGUUUAGCUAGGGGGUACUUGUCAAAGGGACAUCCACAUGGUUUCCCAGCAGAACAUUGUCCAGAGCAUCACACUGCCUCUGCCGGCUCGCCUUCUUGCCAUAGUGCAUCCUGGUGCCAUCUCUUCCCCGGCGUUUCCCAUCGGAGUUCACACGAGGCCUCUGUGGGAGUCUUUCCAGGCCGCUCGAGCUGAAAUCACACGGGAGAAAUGGACUAAAGUUUAAUAUCAGAGUCGUGCAUAACUGAGACAUUUCUGUUUUCAGCAAACUCCACCCAGGACAUGCAGCUCUCCUGCCUCAUACCUCAUACAUCUGAGGUAGUCACAGUGAAAACCUGGUGGGAACAAAACACUCAGUGGGAUUUUUUUUUUUUAAUCAGGAAUUAUUUUUUCCUUUAUUUUCUUUUUUUUUUCAUUAAGAAAUAUUUGAUGUGCUCCAAAACAUAGCUUCUAGCUAUAAACAAAUAUAUGGGUACAUUUUUUCCACACUAAUUUUCACAGUAAACUUCUUUAUUUCGCUUCUGCAAGCGUACAGUUUGACUCUCACUUCAUUAACAUCGUCCUCCUGAGCAUAUGUCUUUAUCUUUUAUUUGUGAGGCUGUGACAUGGUGACUGUGUGGUAAAAACCUGAAAGGAUCAAACCUUCUUGUCCGGCACCAAAAACCAUCCCACAGUCCCACAGGUUGAGGGUUCAAGCCCUGGUGCAGCCAAGCUGCCACUGUUGGACCCUUGAGCAAGAUCUCCAGGGGUGCUGUAUCAUGGCUGACCCUGUGCUCUUACCCCACCUUCCUAACAUGCUGGGGUAUGUGAAGAAAAGAAUUUCACUGUGCUAUAAUGUAUAGGUGACCAAUAAAGACUCAUUAUUAUUAAUUUCGUUUCAUUAAUAGACCUGUAUGAGUUCUGAAUCAAGCUGCUGCCACAUGACUGGCUGAUUGGAUCACUGCAUUAAGGAGCAGGUAUGCACUGUUCCUAAUAAAGUGG